GAUUGGGUAAGAACCCUAGCAUCCACUCCCGUCGCCGUUCCUCUCAUGCCGCCUACCUAACCGCUGCUCCUCUCCUCGCCGAGCUCGCUCUCGCCGCCGCAUCCCAUCCCCGUCGCGCUCCCGCCACCAUUCCUCCUUCCCUCCUACCACUCCCCUCCGCUAGGCCUAGAAAUCGACGAGGAGGCCGAGCCGCCACCCGCUACCGAUCCUCAGACCGUCCUGAUCGACCAAGCUCGGGGUCGAGGGGCGCGCCGGAUCCGGGCGCGGCGGCUCAUAUCCCCCAUGCUGCGCGGAAGGACGGCGACCUCGCCACCCGGUAGCCGCCUUCCUGGUCAGCGCCCUGCGGACGCGUUCCCGGCGGACUAUGUGGCUGCGCCCGUCGAGACAGAGAAGGAGCACAUGCCCGCCGACAGGUACCCCAGAUGCUGUGGCCGCGGCUCGAGGGCCUGGAUUUGGCCGCCGUUAGAAAGUACGCCAUAGAUGGGAUUUGGAAGCGGCGUUGUUUGUCAACUACCUUGAUAGGUUCCUCUUCGUCUAUCCCCUUCCUGAAGGCAAAGCGUGGGACGGCUCUUGGCAGUGGCUUGCAUUUGUCUCGCUUCAAAGAUGGAGGAGACCUAUGUGCCACUCCCCAUGGACCUGCAGGUGAUUGAGGCAAAGUCUUCCUUUGUAUGGCAAUGAGCAUAAAAAGGAUGGAGCGGUUACUUCUUGCUCAUUUAUUGACUACUUCCUUCGCAACUUCAAUCAUCAUGACACACCCUCCAUGCUCGCAUUCACCCGUGACCCGACCCCAUCUCGAGCACAACUAAAGGAGCUGAUUUUUGGGUUCAGACCUUCAUAGUUUGCUGCACCUGUUGCACUUGCUGUAUUUGGGUUGCUGCACCUGUUGCACUUGUUGUUAUUUGGGGAGCGCAACUUCAGUGGUUGAAAGAGCUACAACUAAUUGCAUGUGUAUAAACAAGGAGCGAGUGUUAAGAUGCUACAAAUUGAUUCAGGACAAGAUAGCAAUGGGAACCACGGUCAUCAAAUCGGUUGGAUCAUCAAUGUUCUAUGUGCCGCAAAGCCCGAUAGGCGUGUUGGAUGCUGAUGUAUGUCUCAGCCAACAGAGUGAUGAUACUGUUGUUGGAUCUCCAGCAACAUGAUUCCACAACUCUUCGACAAGCAAAAGGAUGAGAAUUGGCAGAUGACCAAUCACAUGUCGUGAUGUACUUAAGGUGUGUUGCUCACCAUCUUGGCCGUUUUGUUGUUUCAAACAUCUCAAUUUAGUUUGGUCACUCGAGAACUGUAGUGUGGUUAAGUAGUUGCUGGAAGGAACAAAAACACAAUAGUUAAGACUUGACCCAUAAAAACAAACGGUUUCUCGUGAGCCUAUUCAUGAAAUCGACAUAUGUAAGGGGCAUGUUAAGCUGUUAGGGUCAACCUUACAAGUAGAAACACGAUGAAUGGAUAUCUGGUGAUGGUACAUCAGAAUCGCCAAACUCAACAGAAUAUAAGCAUGUGGUACUAAAAAGUACUGCUAGAAAUUUUCAAUGUUUAGAUGGUGUGAUGUUCCAUGUUCGUCACUGUUGGGAAUACUUUGAUAGGACUAAAUGAAUAAUAGAACCCUUUGUGUUUUAUAUGAUUUAUUAUUGAGGGCCUGUUUGGAAGAGAGGGGUUGGGCUAGGAGUUGGUUUAAUUUGUACAUUAGGACAAAGAUGAUUCAGUGAUGAAACCAUAGUGCUAAUUCAAUGUAUAUAUCCUACUCAAUGUGCACAUCAACAUUCUUAUGAGCAAUUUAAUAUGUCCAUCUCAUUCGUCGUUAUUUCCGCUGAAGAUUAUUUGAAAUUAUCAGGCAGUGGCCCUCUUCAAGUCCUACUUUGGUGGAACUUUUAAUCAAGAUGCUAUUAGGAAUAACUUGGUGUUUAUAUACCAACUUCUUGAUGUUAAGGGCACAUACAGUUUUGGACUUUGCUUGGUGCUUCAGUUUCCACCAUGGAUUGAUUUUUUUUGUGAUACCGACUCUGCAACUGUGCAAAGAUUAUGGACAUCAGUUAUCCUCAGAAUCUCUCACCUGAAAUUCUAAAGUUAUAUAUAACCCAGGAAGGCGUACCGUCGCCAUUUUCCUCCAAGAUUUGAAAUAGAAAAUAAUCUGUCAAAACUGAAAGAAAUUGGAGUACUGAAGGUCUGCUUGUACUGUCAUUUUUUUGUUUGAAUUGCGCACCAAAAGAAAUUGUUGCCAAUCAGUUAGUAGCAUAAUUAUUGACAGGGAGUAUUUAGGAUAAUCGAUGAGUUUUACGUAGAUGCAAAAAAUCUGUUAGAAGUUGUUCCUUUUUUUCUGUGUGCAACUUUUGUAUAUGGGGGUUCAUGAAUAUCAUUUGUACUGUCCAGAUUGUAGCUUGUACUGCCAUUUCUAAAAAAUAGUACACCAAAAGAUCAGUUCCAGCUCCAUUCUGAACUAGCAGGGUUGUAAGUGGACGCAGUGCAUUACAAUACGAUAUCCCUGUCUCAUACAUAACAAGUCGGAACUCUUCUAUUGCAAGUAUCUGUCAAGAUGGGAUAUUCAGGUCGCUCUGUGUAGUGGGCGCCUCAUCAUUUAUAGGAAAGUUAUUAAUUCUAGGAAGCGAUUGCAUGCUCAUGUAGGACUUGAUGAAGGAGAGGUGAGUACAUGAAAAUAUGUCCAGAGAAAAUUCUCUUUAUUACCUUCCUUUUUCUAUUUUGAGAUAUAUUCUUCAGUUCCUUUUUAAGAUAUAUUCUUCAGUUUAUUUGUACAUUGAUGCCCCAGGUCUGGUGAGCUUGUUUCUUUUUGAGAUAUAUCUUCAGUUUAUUUUUACUAUUUAUAUACCUAUAUUCAUUGACUUAUCAUGUGAAACUGGUGUUUCAGUAUUUUGAGAUUUAUUAUUUAUAUUUGACUGCUUCAUUGUUCUCUGAAACUGCAGGUAUGUCCCAAGUGAACUGGAUUAUUAUGAUGAUUUUGUCGAUUCAUAGUUCUUUUUUUCAUGAAAUAAAUGGUGUUCACCUUUGGGCAGUUCAAGUGAUGGAAGAUAUUGUUUCAAUAAUAUUGAAGCUUUUUAGAUACUAUGGCAGUUGAGGUUCAUUUGAAGUCGCGGAUGGAUGUAUGAUUUAUGCACAAAUGUAUACGCGCCAUGUAGUGGUUAAUUAGAGCUCCCCACUAGGUUUCUAGGGUAAAAUCUAUAGCUAAAAAUAGACGGUCACGGAAGGCAGGGCACAUCUGACAGCCAAAACUCCCCACAGUAGUCCUUCUGCUUGUAUUGUGCUUGGGUUCAAAUAUUUCGGCUGGAAGUUUUCGUGCAGCUGCAGAAUAAUUUAGACUCAGGUGUUCUUCGGCUAAAAUUAGGCUGCUCCUGCCAUGUCUACCAGUGAAAUGCCUCCUUCCAUGAUAAAGCAGCCUACUCUUAGGUACAGAUCUUGGUGUUGAUUCUGCCUCACCUUUCCAGUCGGUAGUGGUUUGGUUUGCUGCAGGUUUCCUCGGUUUUCAGGAAUUGGGCAAAGCUUGAGGAUGAUGUAGACCGCUGCGCCACCUCUCUUGUCAUCCUGGUCGCUGCCUAGCCACUUUCUUCGAUUCAGAGGCUUGUGCCACUACAGUGGCCUUGACUAAUGGGAUCCUUUUAACGCCGCCACUGGAGGGCCUUCCGCCUGAGCCAGGAUCUCUUCUACCCUGCAUCGUUGUUGUGAACUCAUCCAUGCUGACAGCCGGCUCCAUGCUACACUGCUGCAGGCUGCAGACAUGUACAGGACAAGGCAAGAAAUCAGAAAUGGUUAGAGCGGUAUGCCUUGAAGAGAGCCAAGAGGAAGAGAGGCGAGUGUACAUGCCUGAAGACGGCAAGAUACCACUUCCACGACGACGUCAACAUCGUCGUGGUCUAUCUUCACCGGCACCGGCACCGGGGGCGCCGCCACAACAGGGUUAUGGAGCAGUAACUGCAAACAUAGAACCCCAUAUUAUGAUGGGUAACUGACUUUACUUAUAAGACAACAUGAACUGACAACUGCAAUUAUAACAUAUCUGGUAUUUUCAUAUUCUUUGUCAUGUGUAGAAUACAUGGUCUGAUAGAGUCAGCGUUUGUAUGAACUUUUGGUGGAUAAAGUGUUUUGUUCUCAAGAAAGUUCAUCAUUGAACACAACAAUUUGUUUGUGUUUUCUUGAGUUGCAAGACAUGAAUCUCUUCUA